GUGUUUAUUUUACCUUGUUGCUUCGGCGGGCCCGCCUUAACUGGCCGCCGGGGGGCUUACGCCCCCGGGCCCGCGCCCGCCGAAGACACCCUCGAACUCUGUCUGAAGAUUGUAGUCUGAGUGAAAAUAUAAAUUAUUCAAAACUUUCAACAACGGAUCUCUUGGUUCCGGCAUCGAUGAAGAACGCAGCGAAAUGCGAUACGUAAUGUGAAUUGCAAAUUCAGUGAAUCAUCGAGUCUUUGAACGCACAUUGCGCCCCCUGGUAUUCCGGGGGGCAUGCCUGUCCGAGCGUCAUUGCUGCCCUCAAGCACGGCUUGUGUGUUGGGCCCCGUCCUCCGAUCCCGGGGGACGGGCCCGAAAGGCAGCGGCGGCACCGCGUCCGGUCCUCGAGCGUAUGGGGCUUUGUCACCCGCUCUGUAGGCCCGGCCGGCGCUUGCCGAUCAACCCAAAUUUUUAUCCAGGUUGACCUCGGAUCAGGUAGGGAUACCCGCUGAACUUAAGCAUAUC
rnacentral:rRNA from 1 species